UACGUAGGGCGCGAGCGUUGUCCGGAAUUAUUGGGCGUAAAGAGCUCGUAGGCGGCCUGUCGCGUCCGCUGUGAAAUCCCGGGGCUUAACCCCGGGCCUGCAGUGGAUACGGGCAGGCUGGAGGCAGGCAGGGGAGAACGGAAUUCCCGGUGUAGCGGUGAAAUGCGCAGAUAUCGGGAGGAACACCGGUGGCGAAGGCGGUUCUCUGGGCCUGUACUGACGCUGAGGCGCGACAGC
rnacentral:rRNA from 1 species